rnacentral:rRNA from 1 species
CCCUAUUAUUUUUGAAUGUUAAUUGUGUUGUGUCUGAGUAGUAUUAGUUAUGUUCUUGAAACUUAAAGAAUUUGGCGGUAUCUCAUUCCUUCCAGAGGAAUCUGUCUCGUUAUCGAUAGUCCGCGUUGGACCUUACUUAGUUGCUUUGGUUUGUAUACCGCCGUUUAUUGAUUAUCUUUUUAGGGUUAGUUUAAUUUUCUGGUUUCUUUAUUUUGAUUUAUUUCAGGUCAAGGUGCAGCUUGUUUCUAAGUGAAUGAUGGAUUACAUUGUUAUUUGUUUAUUGGAUUGUCGAUUUUAAUAUUGACAUGAAAUUGGAUUUGGUUGUAAUGAUUUGUAGGUUGUUAUUAUGAUAGUUGGUUCUGAGAUAUGCACACAUCGCCCGUCGCUCUCGUUUAUUGUUAAUGAGAUAAGUC